UCUUCUUCAGUUCAAGUUUCAAGUUCAAGUUCAGUGAGUCAGUUCUUCACAGUUCUCCGGCCGGCAGUCAUUUUAGUCUUCAUUCUUCUCCAGAGUCCACUUCUCAAUUCUCCGGCCGGCAGACCUGUGAUGUGAGUAUCAUCUCAUCCCAUCCCAUCCCAUCUCAUCUUGCCUUGUUUAAUAAUAAAUGUUACAACAGUUAGUUGGACUCGGAACUGCAGAAUAAUAAUAAUAAUAACAAUAAUCAUGUCUUCAUCACUCCGCCGCAAAUGUAACACAACCUCCUGCUAUCAACUCUCUUUGCUCCGACCAAUCCAAAUCGCCACCCGCGCUUUUCGAUCCGACAGACUACUCGCAAAAGCCUCACCAGAGAAUCAACUGCAAUCAUUUCAUGGGGAAGCAAUUAGCCUUACAAAUCACGGAGAUCGCUCUCGUAUUGAAGCAAUUCUUAAGUACAUUGAAGAUGUUGACCUUCAACGGUGGACCUCCCCUGAUACUAAAUCUUUCAGUAUUGAACUUGGUGAAUUCCACAAGAUGCUGAAUUGCGUCACUAAUCCACAUAUAUUUGAUCAGUUACUGGAGAUGAACUGUAUCGAUUUAGUUUCCAAGGGAGAUUCUCACAUUAACAAUCACCAUAAUGCUGCCAAACAGUUGCUGAAUAAGGUGUUCAAAAUUCGUCUGGGCAGAGGAAACUAUGGUGAAUGUCUGGCGUCUAGAGCUGAUGGGAAUUCUAAAUUCAGUGAUGAAAUGUGCCAGGAACUUAGCAUAAGGAGUGUUGCUGCUGGACUGAGAUUAUUGCCAUCACGCAAACUAAAGCGAUUUCCAGGCGGGUCACUCAUUCAUCAAAGUAGUCGUGGAUUGUGUUACUCCUCAAUGAAUUCUGCACAGAUUUCAUCAAAUGGAAAUGGGAACAAGAAAAAUGAGAUUGAUUUUGAGCUUCUAUUCAAUCGUUGCAAUAAUACCUGUUUUGCUAAGCGUCUUCAUGCUUUCCUGAUUGUGUCAGGAAAAGUUGAAAGCAUCUUCAUCUCCACAAAGCUCAUCAACGUGUAUGCUAAUCAUGCUGAUGUUGGAUUGUCUCGCAAGACUUUUGAUCAAAUUGAGACGAAGGAUACAUAUACUUGGAAUUCGAUGAUAUCUGCUUAUGUUCGAAAUAACCGGUUCCCUGAAGCUGUCAAUGGUUUAUGUGAAAUGUUAUUGCUAUCUGAUACUCGACCUGAUUUUUAUACUUUUCCCCCAGUACUGAAAGCUUGUAGAAAAUUAUAUGAUGGGAAGAAGAUACAUAGCUGGGUUUUGAAGAUGGGGCUCAUGUGGGAUGUUUAUGUUGCUGCUUCUUUGGUACAUAUGUAUUGUCGCUUCGGUUCUGUUGAUGUUGCCCACAAAAUAUUCUGUGAUAUGACUAUUCGAGACAGGGGCUCCUGGAAUGCAAUGAUUUCUGGGUUUUGUCAAAGUGGAAAUGCUGUAGAGGCAUUAAGGGUCCUAGAUGAGAUGAAUCGUGAGGGAAUAAAGAUGGAUUGCGUCACAGUUUCAGCUAUUAUCCCUGCUUGCGCCCAAAGGGGUGAUGAUUUGCAUGGUAUGCUCGUCCAUUUGUAUGUGAUAAAACAUGGUUUGGAUUACGACGUGUUUGUUCGCAAUUCUUUGAUCAAUAUGUAUUCUAAAUUUGGCGAUGUUUCUCUUUCCCAGAAGGUUUUUGAUCAAACAGACUUUAGAGAUUUGGUUUCAUGGAACUCUAUAAUUGCAGCAUAUGAACAAAAUGGUGAUCCAGACACUGCACUAAAACUUUUUGGAGAGAUGCAAUCAAAUGGAGUUCAGCUUGAUUUGCUUACACUUGUGAGUUUAGCUUCUAUUGCUCGGUCAAAAAAUUGCCAAAGUGAGAGGUCAGUUCAUGGUUAUGCACUGAGAAGGUGCUGGGUUUUGGAAGACAUUAUUGUUGGAAAUGCGAUUAUAGAUAUGUAUGCCAAGUUGGGUAAUAUUGAUUAUGCACGUAGAGUCUUUGAUAUAAUAUUCUCAAAGGAUGUGAUUUCAUGGAACACAAUGAUCACAGGUUAUGCUCAAAAUGGUUUUGCAAGUGAAGCUGUUCAGUUAUUCUCCUUGAUGGGAGAUCACAUGAACCUAGUAGCUAACCAAGGAACUUGGGUAAGCAUUUUGCCUGCUUACUCGCAUCUGGGAGCUCUAAGGCUAGGGAGAAAGAGUCAUGGAAAGAUUCUAAAAGUCUGUCUUCAAUUUGACAUUUAUGUGGGAACUUGUCUCAUUGACCUCUAUGGAAAAUGUGGGAAACUAGAUGAUGCAUUAUCCUUGUUUUAUGAAGUGCCCAGAUUUAAUUCAGUUCCUUGGAAUGCCAUAAUAUCUUGUCAUGGAAUUAAUGGAUAUGGUGAAACAUCUUUGCAACUAUUUAAAACUAUGCAGGAUUUGAGUGUGCAGCCAGAUCAUGUUACCUUUAUAUCCCUUUUAUCAGCCUGCAGUCAUUCGGGACUUGUUGACCAGGGUCGCGGGUACUUUACUAUCAUGCAAGAAAAAUAUGGAAUUAAACCCAGUUUGAAGCAUUAUGGAUGCAUGGUAGAUUUGUUUGGAAGAGCUGGUAAUCUAGAGAUGGCAUAUGAUUUUAUAAAUAGCAUGCCCAUACAGCCUGAUGCUUCUGUUUGGGGUGCUCUUCUUGGAGCAUGCAGAGUUCAUGGGAAUGUGGAAUUGGGUAAAGUUGCUGCAAACCACUUGUUUCAAGUUGAUCCUAAAAAUGUGGGCUAUUAUGUUUUAUUAUCCAACAUAUAUGCAAAUACUGGAAAAUGGGAGGGAGUGGAUGAAGUAAGAACAUUGGCUAGAGAUAAUAGAUUGAAGAAGACUCCUGGGUGGAGCUCAAUUGAAGUACACAACCAGACUGAAGUCUUUUAUACUGGGAACCAAUCCCACCACCAUUCUUCUUCUGAGAAAAUCUACAAGGAGUUGGAGAUGCUAACUGUGAAAAUGAAGAGCAUUGGCUAUAUUCCAGAUUAUAGCUUUGUGUUGCAGGAUGUUGAGGAGGAUGAGAAAGAUCGUAUUCUUAUGAGUCAUAGCGAAAGAUUAGCUAUAGCAUAUGGAAUUAUUAGUACACCUCCUAAGAGCCCGCUACAGAUAUUCAAGAAUCUUCGUAUUUGUGGUGAUUGCCACAAUGUGACUAAAUUAAUUUCUAAAAUCACUGAGAGGGAGAUAAUUGUUAGGGAUUCAAACCGUUUCCAUCAUUUCAAGGAUGGCUUCUGUUCAUGUGGAGACUAUUGGUGAUGAUCCAUGGUAAAAUCGUUAUAUUGCCAAACUUCUCUUGUUUCGAUGUCCAUUGAUGAGGCCUAUUGGAGCUGUUAUCUAUAUGCAACAAAAUGAUCUCAAAAUGUGCUUAAGGGGCACAGACAGCUGUGCAGAUACCUCAGAAAUUGCAAAGGUAUUAUAGCUAACUUAUAUUUCUCAUUUAUUAUAUCAGUAGGAGCAACAAUCAUGUUAAAGGCUUU